CACUGCUUCUCCACUACACUGCUCUGCUACUGCUGCUUCACAGGGAUGAGUGGAUUGGCUUUAAGGCUUGGCACCAGGAGUCAUGUCAGUAUGAGCUAAAUAAACCUUUUCCCUUCAUAAAGUUGCCUUGAUUAUUUUGUUGUAGGACCAAGGAGCUGACUUAUAUAUGAAACUUUAUCUGCCUGAGAAGAAUCUAACUCCUUCUUCCAGCCAGGCCUCAGAUGGUGUCUAGGAAAUACAUGGCCAGUGACAGAGACCAGCCAUGGCAGAGUAUCCCGAAAGAACCAACUGGCUGGAGACUUGACUAUCUGAGAGGUCUACUCCAGUUCUCGGCAGACACAACAUCUUCGUUUGUAUGUGGUGCUGAGGAUCGAACCUGGGUCGCAUGCACGCUAGGUGAGGGUGAAUCACUUGCCUUUCAUUGGUGCUGUAACUCGGAUGGGACUCCCUGCCAGAGAUCACCACCUGAGAGGAGACCAACCUGCACCCAUCUUCUUGAUGGCCUCCUUCGCAUCCACCAUCGGCCCUCGAAUUGGUGAGUCCCCCUCUAUGGACUCCUAAACCCGCAGAGGCAUGGUAACAGGGAACUGACCGUUGAUUGUCUGGCAGCCCCUGUGGCGUCUCAUGGGGAGGAAUACACCCCAUAUAGACCUUCAUGGUCACAGUGGUCCUUCUGAGUCUUCCCCUUCCAAGAGGCCUCUGCCAGCUUGAGAACUGACAAACCCCCUUCCCUCCUUGAGCUUGGGUCUCCUCCUCCCCCUCUUAAUCCUGACACCAGGUGACCCAUAGCUCCCACGCCCUCUGGGAGGGCCCCUCACUAGAGGAUUUCGAUGAGGACCGUAUCCUCUGUCUGAGGUCUGGUUCUGAUAUUUGGCUCCAGUGGGAUGCCUCUUCAGUCAACAUAACAUGCCCUUCCUCGUAGCACAAGGGGAGGCGCCUCUUCCCUGCUGGCCUGCCCUCUCAAAUGCCUCCUCGACAAUUUGGACACCCUCAGCCUAACCCCGAAGAUCAAACCCAAGAAACUGAUAAAAUUCUCUACUCAGGAUUGGCCCAAUUAUCCCUUAGAUAACUCUAAACAUUGGCCCCUUAUGGGUCCUUAGACCCUGCUAUUUUACAGGAUCUCUAUAAUUAUUGUGUACAAUCCAAAAAAUGGGCAGAGAUUUUAUAUAUUCAGGCUUUCUUCCUCCUUUGCUCGGAUCCAUCUCUCUAUAUGUCCUGCAACCCAAAGCAUGUCCUCUUGGCUUAUAAACCCUUCUCACUUUCUGCCUCCUCAUCCAUGGAUUUCGAAUCCAGACAACAAGCCACCACCACCACCAUAUCAUUGCUCAAACCCCUCCUCCCACUCUCCUCUUCCCUCCAUUGUACCAGUGGCUGCCCCUCCAGCUCCUCCUUCUUAGGGCCCUGCCCCCACUUUCUCCUUCAGUCCUCCUGUCACCCAUUCCCAUAAAUGGGAAAGCCCAUAAAUAUCAAUACCCUGUUUGCGUUUGUUCCCUUACUCUUACUCUCUCUUACUCUUACUCUCUCCCCCC